UAAAUACUCCCUCUGUCCGAAAUACUUGUUAUAAGGAUGGAUGUCUCUAGAUGUAUUUUAGUUCUAAAUACAUCCACUUUUAUCCAUUUUUGGGAGAAGUAAUUCCGGACGGAGGGAGUAUGUA
rfam:Hordeum vulgare subsp. vulgare, WGS project CAJW01000000 data, contig: morex_contig_43664